rnacentral:lncRNA from 1 species
AGGCACAGAAAAAAUAAAAAAUAUUCCAAGUAUUUGAUCAUAUGGAAUGGUCGAAUACAAUUUUUGUCCAAAGAUCUAUGUAGGGAUCCUUUGUGCAUCAUUAUCCAAUUGAAUGAUGGUGUUUUGAACAUUGGGAAGCCACCUGAUGAGUCAGGGUAGGUUUUUGUACAUAUAGAUAAAUUAUUUUUGUUUUUACUUUAUUGUCGUGUUACAUUAAACUGCACCUUUUUGGUAUAUGUGCUAACAUCCAUUUUGUAGAAUUCACAUUGAGUGCAGUCCAGGAGGGACAAAAAG